AAGACAUUAACGACAAUGGUUAAGACGGUAUCUAUUUUGUGGAAAGUUUUACUUUGCCUGGCUGUCUGUGAUGUUUGUUGGACUAGAUAUCUAGCUUUAGAUGACGACACAGAGGACAGCUAUCUACCGGAAACAGAAGUACCAAUCAAGGAGAAACUACCGUCUGCAGCUAAAAAUUUACUGUUGCUGAGACUCAUCAAAAGUUACCAAAAAAAUUCAAAAGACGAUGCCGACUCUGAGUCACCCGAAAAACGCCAAAGACGUUGCUACUGGUCACCUGUAGCCUGCUAUGGAUGAAUCUUCGCUGUAUUUUUAUGAUUUCUUUAUAUGAAAAUAUAUACAGAACGUUAAAAAACUAUUAUAUGCUUAAGCAUAAAUAUAUACUGAAAUAUACAAUCAAGGAUUGUAAUGUUUUAACCCAAAACUACUUAACUGUGUGUAUAUAUUUGCAGGAAUUAAAUUUGAGUUUGUUUUGCAUAAAGCUUUGAUUAUUAUACAAACUGUGACUUUUGCAGGUAUAUGAUUAUUUUUUACCUGAUACAGUGUUGACGUUGACAUAUGUUAUGGUUGACAUCAGUAACAUCAAUAUACUGUUUAAAUAAUGCUAGAAUUUUCAUAAAUAACUCCGUAAUUAGAUAUAAAGUGUUGAACGUGCAGACUUGGGCCUAUCGUUCUUAAGUACUCUUCGCAGGUUUUAUAUAACCAUUAAUCUUUGUUGUUAUCCAUAUUUUCCAUUUUAUUUUGGUUUAUGCUCAGUUUAUCUUUCAAUAUAUACAUUACAAAUAUUUUUUGCAUGUAAAGUGUGUGAAAAGACACUGCAGUUAUAAGACCGUAACACACACAUGGUACUCAAAGGUUAGAAUGACUAGUUUUAUUAUGACGUCACAAACGUUGAACACUGUAAAAUGCAACGUCACAAGCGGGAAUCAAAGUUCACGCUUGUGGCUGUUACAGUGGCUCUUCCAUUAAUUUGAACUUACCCUUAGGAUAAAACAGAAAUUUUGAUAUAUAAAUCACAUUUGCAGACAAGGUAAAAAAAAUUAAAAAAUGUAAAUAUAAGCAUUAAAUCAUUAUUUUUUGAAAGAUAUAGUCUCAUAACUGCAGCGAUGUGUGCAUACAAAUUU